UAAACGGCUCUCGGCAACGGAUAUCUCGGCUCACGCAUCGAUGAAGAACGUAGCAAAAUGCGAUACUUGGUGUGAAUUGCAGAAUCCCGUGAACCAUCGAGUUUUUGAACGCAAGUUGCGCCCGAAGCCAUCCGGCCGAGGGCACGUCUGCCUGGGCGUCACGC
rnacentral:rRNA from 1 species